rnacentral:lncRNA from 1 species
CUAAAUCAAAUAUUCAACAGGGUGAUUAAGAAGCAAAUCAAAGCUAACUCCAAAUUGCUGAGAGUUAAGGUCCAAAAAUACCUUAGAUUUUGAACCAAGUGUUAAAACUCCCUCCUAUUCAGAAUAACUUGUGAAGCAAAUAAAAACAAAUUUUAAAUAAGGACUUAAACAUUGGCUAAUAUAAAAUUGGUAGAAGUUUCCAAGUUGAGCAACCUUUCUAAUUGCACUUUUCUUGAAACUGAGCAGAGAGUGUUCCAAAUCAAGUGGACAAUCGGCCAAAUUUCAAAUUCGAUUAAAAAAUAGCUUUUGACCGAUGUUCCACCAAAGAUCC